UACGUAGGGAGCAAGCGUUGUCCGGAUUUAUUGGGCGUAAAGGGCGCGUAGGCGGCUCUGCACGUCCGUUGUGAAAUCGCCCGGCUCAACUGGGCGGGGUCAGCGGAUACGGCGGAGCUCGAGCAAGCUAGGGGGCAAUGGAAUUCCCGGUGUAGUGGUGGAAUGCGCAGAUAUCAGGAAGAACACCCGUGGCGAAAGCGGCUCUCUGGAACGGUACUGACGCUGAGACGCGAAAGCGUGGGGAGCGAACAGG
rnacentral:rRNA from 1 species